rnacentral:rRNA from 1 species
GCCCAAUGAUUAAUUUAAUGGCUGCAGUAUAUUGACUGUACAAAGGUAGCAUAAUCAUUUGCUUUAUAAAUUAAAGCUUGUAUGAAUGGUAUUAUGAAAAUAUGACUGUCUUUUAUUUAUCAAUAAAAUUUGAUUUUCCAGUGAAGAGACUGGAAAAUUUUAGAAAGACGAGAAGACCCUAAUGAGUUUUAUAUAUUAUUAUAUAUUAUUAUAAUUAUAUAUUUUAUUGGGGCAAUAAGAGAAAAAAUCUUCUUUUUAUAUAAAAGAAUAAUAUUUAAUGAACCAUUAAUAAUGAUUAAAAGUUUAAAUUACCAUAGGGAUAACAGCAUAAUUCUUUUCAAGAGUACUUAUCGACAAAAGAGAUUAUGACCUCGAUGUUGAAUUAAGAAAAUUAUAUGAUGAAGAAAUUAUAUAAAUAAGUC